AUUGAACGCUGGCGGCAUGCUUUACACAUGCAAGUCGAACGGUAACAGGGAGCUUGCUCCGCUGACGAGUGGCGAACGGGUGAGUAAUGCGUCGGAACGUGCCGAGUAGUGGGGGAUAACGCAGCGAAAGUUGUGCUAAUACCGCAUACGUACUGAGGUAGAAAGUGGGGGACCUUCGGGCCUCACGCUAUUCGAGCGGCCGACGUCUGAUUAGCUAGUAGGUGAGGUAAAGGCUCACCUAGGCGACGAUCAGUAGCGGGUCUGAGAGGAUGAUCGGCCACACUGGGACUGAGACACGGCCCAGACUCCUACGGGAGGCAGCAGUGGGGAAUUUUGGACAAUGGGCGAAAGCCUGAUCCAGCCAUGCCGCGUGUCUGAAGAAGGCCUUCGGGUUGUAAACUGCUUUUGUCAGGGAAGAAAUCUUCUGGGCUAAUACCCCGGGAGGAUGACGGUACCUGAAGAAUAAGCACCGGCUAACUACGUGCCAGCCGCCGCGGUAA
rnacentral:rRNA from 1 species